UACAGGGGGGGCAAGCGUUGUUCGGAAUUACUGGGCGUAAAGAGCUCGUAGGCGGUUUGUCGCGUCUGCUGUGAAAACUCGGGGCUUAACUCCGGGCCUGCAGUGGGUACGGGCAGACUAGAGUGCGGUAGGGGAGACUGGAAUUCCUGGUGUAGCGGUGAAAUGCGCAGAUAUCAGGAGGAACACCGGUGGCGAAGGCGGGUCUCUGGGCCGUAACUGACGCUGAGGAGCGAAAGCGUGGGGAGCGAACAGG
rnacentral:rRNA from 1 species